rnacentral:lncRNA from 1 species
UGCCACAUAUUCCUACUUUUCUGAUGCCCGUACUCUUCUUCAUCCCUAUAAGCCUCUUGUAAUUUCCUAGACACUUCCAUUAUAUCUUCCAUUAUAAACAAAUUUUAAUUAAUGAAUAAAAUUUAACUUUUAAGUUUAAACUAAUUCUCUAUUUAAUUUAAUUUGGUUGAUUUAAUUUUUAUAAUAUGAUUAAUUCCUUUUCUUACAAAAAUUCGGAUUAAAUAUUACAUUUAAAAAUUAAAAUCAAUUCAUUAUUAUAAAUAUUAACAAU